rnacentral:lncRNA from 1 species
GCCGGGCGUGGUGGUGCACGCCUUUAAUCCCAGCACUCGGGAGGCAGAGGCAGGCAGAUUUCUGAGUUUGAGGCCAGUCUGGUCUACAAAGUAAGCUCCAGGAUAGCCAGGGCUAUUCAGAGAAACCCUGUCUAGAAAAACCAAAAAAAAAAAAAAAAGAAAGAAAAGAAAAGAAAAGAAAACCUUGAUGUAUCACUUUUUUUCUUUUUUGGAUGGGGUCUCACUUGGAACUUCUAAUGUAGUCCAUACUGGCCUCAAAUCAGAGAUCCACCUGCCU